rnacentral:sRNA from 1 species
CUGGCUACUGGGAUCUACGAGCAUCUGCACGUACCCGGCUGGGUGGCUGCCAUCUUGUUUACGCAACCUGGCUUCUACAAGCGGGGCAGCAUUUUAUCCCACAAGAACGCUGAGAUCGGCCAGGUUAGAGAGUACUGUACAAUUGUACGGACAACAUCCUGAAUGCAAGGUACUAGUGUCGAACGAUGAUGAUAUAUCUGACAUUGUGUAGAGGCUGUUUAUUCCCUAAGAACUUACUACUAUCCUGACCAGCUCUCGGUUGAAUACUCGUAUACUUGCUUCCCCGAUCGAAUUUUCGGUUCAAUGCGAUCACACCCUGCAACCUCUCCCAAGGCUUGCUUUGACAGCCCCCGAGGUCAUUCGGCGAGCGAACUGCAAAUUUUCACUAUAAACCUCUGGAGAAACAGGGAGUGGGAUUCCGCACCGAGCCCUUUUGUCACAUCAUGUCCUAGACACUGUACGUGUUUCAGAGCGGUUCUAGACCCCUUGAUGGAAUUGGUUCUCUUGUGUUUCUAGAAGAUGUCUCAAGCGGAAUGAGAGAGAUCAAACCGGCCCACAUCUGUCUGUGGCAACCCCGCGACAUAUUCGAGCAUUGGCACUAUUCCAAUCGAGGUGCUUUUUGUAGGCAAUAUCAGCAAUUCCAGUGAACCGGAACGGAAUUCAGACGGGAGAGUUUUCUAACAUCGCCCGCCACCUUGAGACGCCGUGACGAGGCAAAGCUAAUGUGAUCGAAUACGAUUUGAAUCUGCCAAAAAAAAAAAGAUUCCCUAUGAUGUUUGUUGCUCACUUCCUUUGGCUCUUAAUCCUUAGGCUCAAGACAUUACAGAAUUUAGAGACAUAAGCAGGGAGGGCCUGAUAGAAUGGACGAACAGCGAGACAGGACCUGAUGGUGUACGCUGGCAUGGCCUCAAAAGAAAAGCCUUUAGAUGGCAAAAGCGAGGUUCUAGAUAGCCGAGAUCGGUACUGAUAGUGAGACAUUUCGCAGCUCCAGGGAUGGAAUUGUAUCCUCCCUCAGACAAGGAACUCCCCUUCUCUCACAUUCCAAUCCAUUGGGGAAGCACAUGGAGAGUAGAUACAACAACUUGGCAUCUGCACGCAGUUAUCGUGCCGUUUUUAUUUUAUUUUAAUUUUAUUUUCUUAUAUUAGUUGUGGUAUGUAUUGCGUCUUGAGAGAGAGAAUUAUUGACUAUCUCAUCAUCGUGAGUUGGGGUUGGGUAUUUAAUCAUAGUUACAUACGUGUUCACCAUACUAGUACGCAAUAAAACAGGAAACCACUUUGAAACCAUCAAACCAUCUGAAAAUCAAAACCGUUGCUUCUCCAUCAAGGCGGGACUGCUUCCCAUGUUCUAUAUCAUGGAAUGAGCCAUUUCUUCCAAUGGGGGAAUUCAUUACUCCUCAACAAAAGUUCCAAAGAAGAAAAAGAAAGAAAAAAAAAAGGGAGGAGAGGGAAGGAUAUCUGCAAAACCUCGCUCACACCCUCAGCGCUCCUCCUCAGAAGAUGAGACUGACUCCUUCUCCGCAUCCUCAAGACUCUGCGACUUGCCCAGAACAGGGUCACGGAUCAGAAGAGCAAAGACAACCAACAACACACUGAGACAGAUACCAGUGAUGCACAGCAGUCGCUGGACGUGGCGGUAGGCAUCAAUGACACCAUCGCGCACCGGCGUGCCGACCGGGUGAGCCGUGGCAAACCCAAAUGGGUUGCCAUAUAUUGUGCCCGCGUCAAUUGCGUCCCCGACUCGAUCCUGGAUAGCGCCCGGGAGCACUUGGUUCCAGAUCGCACCCGAGAUGGCGUUCCCGAGGGCGCUGCCGAUGUUGUAGCUUGCGAGGUACAAGCCGGUGAUGACGGCCACGUCUAAUAUCAAGGUUAGCUGGAUUCUGGCGCUGGGGUUUUCCUUUUCUUUCUUCUUUUUUUCUUGUGGUUGUUUGUUGAGCGUGGGCUCAUUGGGGAAGGGGGUGGCAUAUACUAUAUACUCACGUUCAUGUUUCGUUGCAGCUUGGAUACUUGCUUGUGCGGGAGAACAAAGGGUGUUUUUUUGUUGGGCAGUUGGAGCUUGUGAGGAUAUAUCUUACCAAUACCGAGCAAGACCUGGGCACCGAUGACCCCAGAGUGGCUGGAGCCGCCUGAUCCCCCACGGAAGUGAAUGAGAAUACCGAACGCAACCAUGAACAGAAGGGUUCCGCAGAUGAUCAUGACCUUGAGCCGACGAAUCUUCAAGACAACGAGACCGGCGAUGCAGCCCGUAAUGACAGACGAAAAGCUGUACAGGGAGGUGAUGCGAGUGGCGCUUUUGAUGGACUCGUCGAAAGCAACAAUCAACACCGUAUAGAGGAAGUCUCCCUGCAGAUACCACGCUGAGAAAAGAGGGAGAAAGAAAGGGGGAAGGAUGGUUAGCCUAGAUCGGAGAAGCUUUCAAGAGAAAAUUGGGCGGUUCGUCCUUACCAGUGUUAAGCAUCACCGCAAUACCAAGGGCAGCCCAGACGGCACGGUCUUUUAGAAGCUGGGCAGAUUCUGUUAGUAUCCCCAAAGCAGACGACAAGACGGGGAAUUCCAAAUAUAUGGGUGAUGAGGACUCACUCUAAAUGGAACCAUGGGAUGCUUGCAAGAUCUCUCCCAGAAAACGAAGACGGGAAUGCAACAGACCCCAAUGACGAGCGGCGCAAUAACCUUGGCCUUCUGCCAUUGAGUCUGGACUCCCCCGGCAAGAGUAAAAGGAACGAGAAUAAGGGCGAAAACGGCAAUCAAAAGGAUGACGCCUAUUACAUCCAGCUGCCAGAAGAGGGCUAUCGAGAGCCGGCGCGCGCCCAGAAGCUGAUACGAACUUUUGUACCCAGCAAGCGCGCCGUCUACUUUUGCUCUUCUGUGGACGAUAAAGAGAGAUGCGAUCAACGGCAAACAGCACACUAUAUGAUUUCCCAGUUAGCUUUUUAUUUUCUUGCUCCUACUUCCUUUUCCUCUUCGCUCGGAUGGCAGAUUCGUUGAUUCUGGAUAAUAACAUACCUGGGUAGAUGAUUGCCCACAUCCCAAUUCCUGUAAGGGGCUGUUAGCUGAAGCUUGAGUCGAGUUAUAUCACGAAGUGUUGCAUACCCCAUUUCCAUGUUGUGACUCCCAGCACAGCAUUUGUGACAUUCCCACUCACCCAAGUAUUGAUCUAUAUCCGAUUAGUGAGAUAAUUUUGGCCCCUGGAGAAAGGAGAUUGUUAAUGGCUCCAAACGUACGAGGAAUGGUAAUGCAGGAACAUAGGAGAAGAUUAAGCGGGACCGAAGCGAUGUCGUAUCAGCAAUCAGGACCUCGACCAGCAACAUGAUACCUGUGUAUCCGAUCUUUUUGAAAAAGAGAAACACAAGUAGAGUCCGAAGUUAGUGAACCAAGAAAAAUACAAGGCGUGGGUGGAAUAUAUCUGCUCACCUGAUAAAGGAUGGCACCGGCGCAGAAUGAUUGCACGUUGGUUGCGCAAGCUUCGAUAAUCGUGCCAAUGAUAUAGAAUACAAUAGUAAUACUGAUAACCUCCGCGCGACCAAACACAUCAGCAAUCUUUGCGAUUGUUGGCUGAGCAGCAGCACCAAUGACGCCUCGCAGAACAUUAACUGUCGCUAGCAAGCUGUGUUGGGCAUAUGACGCAACAGCAUAGGGCUGGUAAGUAUAUCGAAUAGUCCCAUCCAAUCCGUAAGCGUAGGCGAGAAGGAAUAUGCCAAAAAAGAACAGGACCUUGUCUGG